UCUGAAAGGGACAUGAUACCAAAUGAUACAAUAAGACAUAGAAUGGAAAUAAGACAUGAUAUUAUUGAUCUUAAGAACACAACAGUUGGUUUGGUACAGACAAGUCCAUAAAUACUUAUGAUACUAGGUGUGAUUUAAAUGAUAAUAAUUUUUUUAGAUUGCCAUACUAAAUGAGGAACAUAUUCUGUGCCGUGGCUUAAAAAUUCAUCUUUAGGGAAGCUCAUUCACUGAAAGGCUGAAAAUGGGAAAAAUGAAUGUAUCAUAACUGAUCCUUGGAGAGAUAAGGAGAAGAAGAUUCAUAAAUUUCAAGAUUUGGAGGAGUU